rnacentral:rRNA from 2 species
GUUGGCUCCCAUGGAGAGGCGGGUACACCCAGUUCCAUUCCGAACCUGGAAGUUAAGCGCCUCAUCGCCGAUGAUACUGCAUAUUUAUGUGUGGGAACGUAGGCCGGGGCCAACA